GGAUCGCCGGGGGUGGUACAUUACAGACCCUGUUCUUAUUUUGUUUGGUUUUAAACGAAAGGAGCCCUUGCUGGCUGCUGGCUCGCGCCUCCCUGGCCCCCCUCCAGAAGGCAGCGGGCAUCUUGCGGAGGCAGCUGACCCGGCGGGGCGGCGACGUGGAGGGCGGCCGGGCUGCCGGGGCUUCGGGGCCGAGUCCGUGACCUCGGCCUCAUGAGUCGUGGCUCUAACCGGCCGCGCUCAUCAGUGCCGAGCUGUGUCGUCCAAGUGGUGAUGCCCUGUCGCUUAUCACCUCUUCGAGGGCUGCCGCGGGUAAUUCAAAGCUCUAACUCUACCAAGAAGAGGGCCAAUCAGCCUCGCGGGAGUUAGACAGAAACGCCACUGUUCCCACUCAAUGAAAAGGAAGCAAGGAACAAGCAGACCCCAGAAAGCGGGCCCAGUCUUCAUUAGAGCUCAGGGCAUCAAGGAAAAAGAAACGCUAAAGGUCAAGCUUUUAGGAUAAAAGUAGAGUUUCGGUAAACUUGUUGUCCGGCGCCAUGAGUUCAACAGCUUCCCAAUACUUAAAGGAUCUUUCGAAUGAGAUCAGUUGUGACAUUUAUAAAAGUGAUUUUUGGAUACUGUACCAAAGAAAGGAGUCAACAUGUGGCAGAUCUACGUAACUCAGUGAACCAGGAUUUUCCAAAUGACCAGGGCAUGUUAAAGCAGCACGCACGGGUAAAACAUCAACUCAAAGUACAAGACAGACCAGUGGAUUUCAAUGUAAAUGUGCCCGUUAACCCUGGAUGCUAACAGGAAGAUUUCUUUCUCUUGCAUCUGUUUGACCAUAUUUUUUCAGGCUGUUCGUGAGGAACUCGGCAUGGAAAAAAAUGAUUUAGGAAGUUGGCUUCUGAUCAACUGCUUCACUGAAUUAAAGUGCAAUCGGGAGGAAAUGGCCAAUAUCUUAGAUCACUUCCACUGCUGGAUCCUGUGGGGCCUCAGAAGUCUUUAAGGAUGGAUUCUUUGAAAAAGAAGAAAAAGCAUAAAAUGUGUCAGGGCAAUGGAAUUCCUAAUUUCCCUCAGAAAUUUUACCUCUUAAAUGGAGUUCUCCCACCAACGGUUCAGUGAGAGAUGGUUUCCUUAUUGUCAUUUAUUACCCACGACAGGCAGCAACACUGCCUCGGAUACAACCGCCAUUCACCACGCUUAUCUGGCAGAGACUGCAAGGCAGAAGAAGGCUCCAAGUGCCUUUCUUCUGGAAUCCCGUUCCCAAAGGCAACAGUCAAAGCAAACCUCUAUUAACGGGAACACUGGUAUCUACGGAGUGCUCUGGCCAGAAGAUUCCACUCCUCCUA